UGUUUUUCUGUAUGUGUGUGAGAAAGGGAGAAGGGAGAGUCCAUCACGCCUCUCUUCUUCUCUAUAAAGCUUCAAGAUGAGCCCCCCAUGGUUUUGAGACAAGAAACACAAGGGAAUCAGGGUCUGAUGAUCCGUUCAUCGGCUCCUCCAUGGUAACGUGGAAGAGCAUGACAAGAAGCAAACACAGACCAUAUACUCUUCCUCUGGUGCAACGGUUUGGGUGAGUGAUCUCCAUGUUAUGCUUGUUACGUGAACACUCCUACGCUUUUGGGUCUCGCUCUCGUUGUCUGUUCGACCUUGCAUAAACCUGGAUCUUUCAGAGCUUACACAAAAUAAUAAAAAGGAUAUGUAUGUGCGUGUGUGUGUGUGUAUGCGUGAAAGCAGAUCAGUCGGUUUGCUUUGAAUAACAGAAGUGAGGACCUAUCCCCCUCAGCGUUGCAAAACAGAUCAAUAAGUUUUCAGUUCGCAUCUCCGGUGAUCGGAGAUACUGCAGUUCAGUUUUUCCGGUGAGAUUUUAAUGUCUGAUUGACCUUUUCUUGUGAAUCAGAUGUGAAUCAUUCACCAUCUCCUCCUCUAUACUCCAAUAAACGCGAGCAUAUAUAAAUCACAAUACAUGUAAUAUAUGGGAAUUUUUACAUAUAAUAGGGAUUUCAUAUAUAGCUGGUGUGUGUGAAUAAGGUGCCGAUGCACUUGUUUGUAACAUCUUGCGGGAAUCAAGGUUGUAUAAGUAGAUCUGCUCAAUCAGACCUGGGAGAUGCACCGGGCAUGGACAAAUUAAGCGGUUCGUUAAGUAAAUUAAACUGGUUGCUUUCGUUAAAGGCCGAGCUUGUCCGAGUUCCUUCUACAAAUUGUAGUGAUCCGAGUAUAAACCAAGUAUUUGGAUGACUGUUUCCAUCUAAGAUCUACAUUUGUUUACACCCUGAGAGUCUAAAAGAGAGGAAACAGUGCGGCCUUUGGUUUAUGACUGGUACUGUAUUGUUUAAACCAUGGUAAGAAGUGCAUGUGCCCUUGUUCCUUGGUUUUGCCUAAGCAAACGGAGAAUUCCGGCCAUUGUUGCCGGGAAACGACCGGACUUUGCUUGUCAGCUAACCCUUGACAGUGCUCUCCGGCCCAUGGAGGCAUGUCCCUAAGUUCUUUGAGGUAGGAGUAGUGGGGAUGUGAUAUUUUGCAUAGUACUGCCAUUAUUAAAGGAAUAAGUGCAGCCACGAGCUACAGCACUGAUCAGGCUGCUAAAAAUGGCGGGGAGCUGGACGGAAGAAGCGGAAAGAAGACAUUGAAAAACUCAUAAAGAAGGAGCUGAUGCCGUCAUGUGCAUGGGCUGCCGUCAUCGUCCAAAGUCUAUGGAAUGCAAUAAUGGGGAAGCAUGGGCUUUGUUAGGUGAGAAACCAGAAAGAGACAGAGAGGCUGGGGGAGGGUAGGUACGCUCUUUUUGAAGGCCUGCUCGGAAUUGUAGUUGCAUGCAGUGCUAGAGUCAUGGUACGUGCUCGUGUUAGAUGGGUCCUUUCAUUUUCCGCCAUGAAUGGUGAUAGUAGCAUUGCCACGGCCACAAUGGCUUAGACAAGUCUACUCCCUUGCUUGCUGUAGCUUGACUGCUGGCAAGAUGAAAGGAUAAAGUGAAGAGGGGCAGAAGGGAUCAUGGACGGUGCCGCGACUCAAGGCAAACCGUCCCUUCCUUGCCUCGAGGGGGUGAUGUGAAAGGUCUCUAAUCUCUCUCUCUCUCUCUCUCUUCCUCCUGUCCUAAAUGGAAGAGUCUGAGAACAAUUAUGCUCAUAGACUCGUACACUUCCAUUCCAGAAUUCAAAACCAGAAGAUGUCGGCCACUUCGCAUAAUCGCAGUGACAUAUACAUAUAUAGUGCACAGACAUGAAAGGUGACUCCCAUUAAUUAGUUUUCAACUGUGUGUUCGAAGUUCUACUACGCUCGGACGCACUUGUUUCGUCUCUGGUUCUCUAUUGGUGGCAGAUCUGCUCACAUUUCUGCUGUGUUUGGCUGCUUUAGUUGCAAGUCCAAAUAAUAGUUCUUUGGGAUCAUGUGAUGUUAUUGCUGUUGGCAUGGUGUCCGCUAGGAGGAAGAGAAAGUGAAAGCAAUCCUAACAACUAAAUCCAUCACUGGUUGAGAGAGAGAGAGAGAGAGAGAGAGAUCAGGAAUGAACAUUGAUCCUAGUUCAGUAAUGGAAGUGGCUUUGAACUCUGCAGAGGACUGUAAGGCUGUGGCUUGGAUUCUUAAACGUAAGUAUGAGCUCGAAUUAGGUUAGAGAAAGAUGUAGGAUGUUAGAAAAGUUACAGUGUGGUGGAUGACAUGCAUUGAGAGUGCCGAGAAAUUGAGGCCAAGUUAUGGGAUAUCUCGGUUGUUUUGGAAAAAGUGAGGGGGUUGUUCAGUUUGGCUCUCCUUUUUGAAACAGAGGUACAUCACACUUUUCAAGUAGAAUAAAUGUCAACUACCCAAGAUACGACUGUCGGCUGCAUUAUCUCAGUAUGGUCAUGUUGGAGCAAUUGAAGUCACAGCCGAAGUUGCAGUUGUCGCCAGUAAGUUCACCAGCGACUGUCCCUUGUAAAAAGCUGCAGAGCAAGUGGAAGAAGAAGAAGAAUAAGUCAGAUUUAGGGAUUUAGGGUUUCCUGCUCCUCAUGAUCCUCUUUUAGAAAUUAAACAUUAAACAUUGUUGAGUAUAAAUAGCCAGCUCUUUAGGUUUUUUCCAAAGCCCAUCAGUGGUUAGCGUGAGAGUUUUUUUAGAAAAAUGUUGAGAUAAAAAUGAACUUUAUCUCGUGAGAAGUUUUGAGUGAAUCUCGUAACUGCCUUCGUAACUGCCUUGCAGUUACGAGAUAUCCGGAUAGGGCUCAAUGGCCACUAUCCAACAGGCCAUUUCGCCUUCAUUUACAAUAUAUGAUAGCUACAACUAGUAGUGUUUUGGUGGGAUUAUGUGUGUGUGAUUCAUGACUUUAACUUUUAUUGCUCGAUUUCAUAUGAUUAAUUUUCCCUCGAGGCAAUUAAUUGCAGUUUCUGGUCUUGGAUUUAUGGCUUAACACAAAUAUUAUAUGAAAAUUUUUCCAAGUACUAGGGGUGGGGGGUGGGGGUGGAAGUAUUUCAUGACUUUAACUUUUAUUGCUCGAUUUCAUAUGAUUAAUUUUCCCCCGGGGCAAUUAAUUGCAGUUUCUGUUCUUGACAUUUCAUCUGGGAUGAGAAAGUACUUUCAUGCAUUUAUGGCUUAACACAAAUAUUAUAUGAAAUUUUUUCCAAGUACUGUCAAAGUUAUACACAGAAGGAUGGUUAAUUGUGUAUUCUAACUAAACCAUAUGCAUACUUGCCUAUUUUCCAUAUCAGAAAAUUGCAAGCAAACAAGUUAUACAUUGACCUAAAAAUUAUGGAUAAUAGAUGCACCCAAAAUAUUUACUCCGCAAGUACACCCUAGCCCCGAAGCAAGAUAGAGCCUUAGAGGUAUAGGGGUAUAAGGUUUGAGGGUUUUAGGCUGAAGGUGGUUUUUCUUAAUUAAAUAUUAAAAUAAUACAACCAAACUACUAGCUAGUUUUAGUUAAUGAAAGUAAAAAAGGAUGCCUAAUAAGCCGAAGAUCGAUCCAGUGAAAAAAAACGAAUAGGUCGGACAGCCGACGAAAUCGAAGGGAAAGCGAGGACUGUGUACGUGGCAAAGCUUGACAUGGAUAUUGACACCCUGGAGUGGAAGAACGAAGCUGAGAUUCCCAACAGAUCAGUCAAACAACAUUGAGGUAAAGGAAAAGAAAACAUACAUUUCUUGAUUUGCUCCUCCAUGUUUCUUUGAUUUGCUUGUAAUUUAACUUGCAUGGAACAGAACAUGGCCUGGCUGGCUAGUUGUCUUCACACUGUCUAGUAUGUACAUAUUGACUUGGUAAUUUCUAUUAGAAAUGCAUCAUUAAGUUUCUUCUUUUAUAAACAGGAUGAAAGGGCUUCUACUUUUAGUUUCUUAAUGAAUCAUGAGAAUUGCUUAACCUCAUGUUGAAGUCAGGAGAAGAGGGUGGUAUCAUCAGCACUCAGGGCGCGUAUUCCAGCCACCAGAGCCCAACUUUCCAUUAAUUCCUGCAUGUAAUCGGGCAUCAGGAAUCCUUUGUUUCGGGAAUUGGAUGAUCUCUCCGUUCCCCCUAGAACAUCAAAAAACAACAUGGUUGUAAAAAUCGGAUGGCCAUAUAUGAACCAGUACUGCAUGUUGCAGGAUUAAUGGCUUGAACCUUAUUACUUGCGACGAACAGAAUUGAUUCAUCAA